rnacentral:rRNA from 1 species
GAUGAACGCUGGCGGCGUGCCUAAUACAUGCAAGUCGAGCGAACGGACGAGAAGCUUGCUUCUCUGAUGUUAGCGGCGGACGGGUGAGUAACACGUGGAUAACCUACCUAUAAGACUGAGAUAACUUCGGGAAACCGGAGCUAAUACCGGAUAAUAUUUUGAACCGCAUGGUUCAAAAGUGAAAGACGGUCUUGCUGUCACUUAUAGAUGGAUCCGCGCUGCAUUAGCUAGUUGGUAAGGUAACGGCUUACCAAGGCAACGAUGCAUAGCCGACCUGAGAGGGUGAUCGGCCACACUGGAACUGAGACACGGUCCAGACUCCUACGGGAGGCAGCAGUAGGGAAUCUUCCGCAAUGGGCGAAAGCCUGACGGAGCAACGCCGCGUGAGUGAUGAAGGUCAUCGGAUCGUAAAACUCUGUUAUUAGGGAAGAACAUAUGUGUAAGUAACUGUGCACAUCUUGACGGUACCUAAUCAGAAAGCCACGGCUAACUACGUG